rnacentral:rRNA from 1 species
GAUGAACGCUGGCGGCGUGCCUAAUACAUGCAAGUCGAGCGAACAGACGAGGUGCUUGCUGGUCUGACUUUAUCAGCGGAGGAGUGAGGAACAACAGGUUAACCUACCUAUAAGUCUGGGAUAACUUCGGGAAACCGGUGCUACUACCGGAUAAUAUUUUGAGUCUCAUGGUUGAUUAGUGUAAGACGGUUUUUCUUUCGCUUAUGGAUGGGCCCGCGCCGCAUUAGCUAGUUGGUAGGGUAACGGCUUACCAAGGCAGCGAUGGGUAGCCGGCGUGAGAGGGUGAUCGGCCACCCUGGAACGAAGGCAACGUCGAGACUCCUACGAGGGGAAGCAGUAGGGAAGCAUCCGGAAUGGGCGAAGGACUGCUGGAGCAGCGCCGCGGGAGUGAUGAUGGUCUUCUGCGCGUUGAACUCUGUUAUUAGGGAAGAACAAAUGUGUAAGUGACUAUGCACGGCUUGACGGUACCUAAUCAGAAAGCCACGGCUAACUACGUG